CGCGUGUCACCCUGCUGGGCCCGGCUGCCUGUUUACCACCCCCUACCAGCUGUGAGCUCCCUGGGGGUCCUGUCCUUGGCCCCUGCACCCUUGGGACCAGACUCAGCAUCAGCCCCAGACCACGUGCACACACAGCUGUUUCUGACAUGAUGCAUCCUGAUCCUGCAAAGGCCCGAGCCAUCUGCAGAGGUUGGGGUGGGAGGUCCAGCCCCACUCCUGCACAGGUGCUCGCACCCCUGGGAGCUGGAGGUGCAGGGGUGAAGCCACAAGUUGGCCCACUGCUGGGAGACAUCCCCCGCCCCGCCACAGAACAAAGCAUCCCAGAUCGACAUCAGGGCCUCUUGGGAAGAAGAGGGAGAGAGGGCAGGGCCCUCCUCAGGGCAGAGAGCAACCAGCUGGUGGGGGCAGGGGGCAGGAGGGCCAAGGGAUCCCACUGAGGGGUCUCAGGUAGGACAGCU
rnacentral:lncRNA from 1 species